GCCGAGAUAGCGCCAUUGCCCUCCAGCCUGGGCAACACAGCGAGACUCCGCCUCAAAAAAAAAAAAAAAAAAAAGUAAAGGUUUGCUUUUAAAGGCAAAAACCGCAAUUACUUUUGCACCAACCUAAUAAAAUGCGAAUAAGUACACAUAUCCUGAAGAAUUGAAGAGGAAGUCCAGGGGAAGUCCAUGGUCAAGUAAGUUUGGAAAAUUCAGUUGACUUGUUUGUUUAACAUUCUGAAAGCCCAAGAAAGAGGAUGUGGUAUGAAGCAUUUUCAAACUGUUUAACCCACAUUCUCUUGUUAAGGGACAGCUUGUGGGAUUGAUGUUAUAUAGAAUACCCUUUGGGAAACAUUGGGUUAAAAUAGAUUGCAGUACAUUCAUUCCAUGGAAAUCUUGGCAACAAUGAAGAAUGAUGGCAUAGUCAUAUAUCACUUGACAUGGAAAGAUGUUUACACUAGAUUGUAAAGUUAAAAAGCAGUGUGAUUAAUGGGAUCUCGUUUUUGUUUUUUUGUUUUAUUGGCUGUUUUUUUUUUU
rnacentral:lncRNA from 10 species